rnacentral:rRNA from 1 species
GCCUACGGGUUGCAGCAGUAGGGAAUAUUGCACAAUGGAGGAAACACUGAUGCAGCAACGCCGCGUGAGUGAGGAAGGCCCUUGGGUCGUAAAGCUCUUUAACCUGGAAAGAAGUGCCCCUACGUAAACAAUGUGUGGGUGUGACGGUACCAGGAGAAUAAGGACCGGCUAAUUUCGUGCCAGUAGCCGCGGUAAUACGAAGGGUCCAAGCGUUACUCGGAAUUACUGGGCGUAAAGCGCGCGUAGGCGGCCUUGUAUGUCGAUUGUGAAAGCCCCGGGCUCAACCUGGGAACUGCAGUCGAAACUGCAAGGCUUGAAUGUUGGAGAGGUUGGGGGAAUACCUAGUGGAGAAGUGAAAUUCGUAGAGAUUAGGUGGAACACCAGAGGCGAAGGCGCCUGACUGGCCAAACAUUGACGCUGAGGCGCAAAAGCGUGGGUAGCAAACAGGAUUAGAUACCCUCGUAGUC